CAGCCUUUUCAUCCAACAGCUGCUUCAGCUGUUCCUGCAGUGCUUGAACUUGUUCUGCGGUAACCAUUCUGUCCAUCUUUGUUUGCUUCUUAAGAUUGCGCAAAGUAAUGUUGAUUUCAGGAUCAAACUCAAAAGGAAGAUUACCGUGAGAUCUUGUGUUCAUGCGCAACCUACAGAAUCACCACUUAAAAAAAAAACAGAACAGAAAAAAGAAAACGAACAAAAAUAAAAACCUGAAUUACUAUAAAGUCCUAUCGGAAAUAUUAGAGCAAUUUCUAAUCAGUCCCCGACAACGGCGUCAAAAAGUUGAUCACUAAUUUCUUAGCAACAAAUACCGCAACUAACACGGUAUAAUUGUAGCAUAUAUGUAGCAAUCGAGUACCGUAUCCUCAGGGACUGACACAACAAAAUAACUUUAGCUAUUUCCUAAACAAACUAUAACAGUAGACAUGCAAAC
rnacentral:lncRNA from 1 species